rnacentral:lncRNA from 1 species
GACGUCAAGGGCUCCGGAUAUUGUGUAAGUUUCCCUUUAAGUUACGAUGGGAAUGAAGAACAAUGCCGAAUGGAUCCAUGCCCGGGUAGCUCGGAAAGCGAUUCUGGACUUUCUUAGUAUUAAGAAUAUCCCUCUCAUCUUGAGAUACAUUUCUAAGUCCUCCCUGAAGAACCACAGCCUCUGCAGCAGAGCUGCCACCCAGUUUAUUGUCCAGUCCUGUUGGUUUUCAUUCAGAGCACCUGAUGGAUCACUGUUACCAUUUGUAAACGAAGAUUAAAUCUAGCUUUCCCACACUUCCCAUGUUGAAGAAGAAGACGGACUGCUGCAACAAAAAGAAUAACACCUGUACUGAGCCAUCCCAGUGGGACUGCUGGAUUCCAUGGUGUGAGAAAACAAGAAGAGCAAGCAUGGUGCACCCAGAUCAUGGGAACAGAAGUGGGCUAUUCAUCCAGAUCAAAGAUAAAGUAUGACAUCCUCUUCCAAGAGCACAUCUGGUGACAGUAGCCUUGAUUCAAACAGGACCAUGGGCAGAGAGAGGAGAAUGAUACAUGGGAACCACAGGAGAGACUCAUGGCAGCAAGGACUAAAGCUUUAUUGCCAGGCAUACCCUGAGCUGUCAAGUUGCAGCCUGGAAUGUUUACAGCUAUGUUUUAACCUCCUGACAAUGAGACUCUGCAAUGGAAAGGCUGCCAGACCUUCAAAUAUAGUGAUGGCACUCUAAUAUUUAUAAGUACCUUAUACUCUUUCUAAACACAUGUGCUCAUUACUUAUGUCUCUGCUUCUGCCUCACUUCUGGAGAAAACUUUCUGUAUAAACAAAACAGAUUGGUC